UCUGAAGUCCCGGAUCCGCGCCGGACGUCGGUUCUCCUGGACCGUGAUGGGCUGGGCCGGGCUCCGCCCACUCUCCACGGCCACGUCUUCAUUAUGCAGGCUGACUCAGGUAAGUGCUCGCAUCAAGUCGGCAAGAUAAACAUCACUGGAAAACUGACGGAGAGUUGAUGAUCUUGCACGGACUAUGUAUCUUCCUCUGGAUGCUACAUUGAUUGAAGCUCGUGCUACUGCUCUUCUUCUCUCUGUCAAUCAUCUUGUUCUGGUGGCCAAGAGUUUGAUGAUCAUGCCGAGACUCUAAGGGCUGCAGCUAUGGCUGAGGAGCUGGAACCAUCUUCUCCAAGUACGCCAGGAAGUGAACGUGCUAUGCUAGGAUCUCACAGAACAACCAAUUGUUCAGACACUG